AGUGAACGCUGGCGGUAGGCCUAACACAUGCAAGUCGAACGGCAGCACAGUAAGAGCUUGCUCUUAUGGGUGGCGAGUGGCGGACGGGUGAGGAAUACAUCGGAAUCUACUUUUUCGUGGGGGAUAACGAAGGGAAACUUACUCUAAUACCGCAUACGACCUACGGGUGAAAGCAGGGGAUAUUCGGCCCUUGCGCGAUUGAAUGAGCCGAUGUCGGAUUAGCUAGUUGGCGGGGUAAAGGCCCACCAAGGCGACGAUCCGUAGCUGGUCUGAGAGGAUGAUCAGCCACACUGGAACUGAGACAGGGUCCAGACUCCUACGGGAGGCAGCAGUGGGGAAUAUUGGACAAUGGGCGCAAGCCUGAUCCAGCCAUACCGCGUGGGUGAAGAAGGCCUUCGGGUUGUAAAGCCAUUUUGUUGGGAAAGAAAAGCAGCAGGUUAAUACCCCGCUGUUCUGACGGUACCCAAAGAAUAAGCACCGGCUAACUUCGUG
rnacentral:rRNA from 1 species